UGCCAGCCGCCGCGGUAACACGGGGGGCGCAAGCGUUAUUCGGAAUUAUUGGGCGUAAAGGGCGCGCAGGCGGUCUUGUCCGUCAGGUGUGAAAGCUCGGGGCUCAACCCCGGAAGUGCACUUGAAACGGCAAGACUUGAGUACGGGAGAGGAGAGAGGAAUUCCUGGUGUAGAGGUGAAAUUCGUAGAUAUCAGGAGGAACACCGAUGGCGAAGGCAUCUCUCUGGACCGAUACUGACGCUGAGGUACGAAAGCGUGGGUAGCAAACAGGAUUAGAUA
rnacentral:rRNA from 1 species